UAGGGAAUCUUCGGCAAUGGGGGGAACCCUGACCGAGCAACGCCGCGUGAGUGAAGAAGGUUUUCGGAUCGUAAAGCUCUGUUGUUAAGGAAGAACGAGUGUGAGAAUGGAAAGUUCAUGCUGUGACGGUACUUAACCAGAAAGGGACGGCUAACUACGUGCCAGCAGCCGCGGUAAUACGUAGGUCCCGAGCGUUGUCCGGAUUUAUUGGGCGUAAAGCGAGCGCAGGCGGUUAGAAAAGUCUGAAGUGAAAGGCAGUGGGUCAACCAUUGUAGGCUUUGGAAACUGUUUAACUUGAGUGCAGAAGGGGAGAGUGGAAUUCCAUGUGUAGCAGUGAAAUGCGUAGAUAUAUGGAGGAACACCGGUGGCGAAAGCGGCUCUCUGGUCUGUAACUGACGCUGAGGCUCGAAAGCGUGGGGAGCGAACAGG
rnacentral:rRNA from 1 species